rnacentral:misc_RNA from 1 species
UCCGGUUCAUCACCGGCAGUCUCCACAGAGUCCCCGCCUUUACGCGCUGGCAACUGUGAACAAGGGUUGCGCUCGUUACGGGACUUAACCCAACAUCUCACAACACGAGCUGACGACAGCCAUGCAGCACCUGUCUCAUGGUUCCUUGCGGCACUCCCGCAUCUCUGCAGGAUUCCAUGGAUGUCAAGGGUAGGUAAGGUUCUUCGCGUUGCAUCGAAUUAAACCACAUGCUCCACCGCUUGUGCGGGCCCCCGUCAAUUCCUUUGAGUUUUAACCUUGCGGCCGUACUCCCCAGGCGGAGAACUUAUCGCGUUAGCUUCGAUACUAAUGGGCUAGGCCCACCAACAUCUAGUUCUCAUCGUUUACAGCGUGGACUAC